rnacentral:lncRNA from 1 species
CUCAAAUUUUUUUUUCCUCAAAAAGUGUUUUCAAAUUUUUUUUUCGUUUCCUUAUUCGGUUUCUUUUUCCUUAUUCGAUUUUCAUUUCCUUAUACAGUUUCUAUUUCCUUAUUCGAUUUCCAUUUCCUUAUUCGAUUUUCAUUUCCUUAUUCGGUUUCUUUUUCCUUUUUCAAUGUUCAUUUCCUUUUUCGGUUUCUAUUUCCUUAUUGGAUUUUCUUUUCCUUAUUCGAUUUCCAUUUCCUUAUUCAAUUUCCAUUUCCUUAUUCGGUUUCUUUUUCCUUUUUCAAUGUUCAUUUCCUUUUUCGGUUUCUAUUUCCUUAUUGGGUUUCUAUUUCCUUAUUGGGUUUCUAUUUCCUUAUUGGGUUUCUAUUUCCUUAUUGGAUUUUCGUUUCCUUAUUCGAUUUCCAUUUCCUUAUUCGAUUUCCAUUUCCUAAUUCGGUUUCUUUUUCCUUUUUCAAUAUUCAUUUCCUUUUUCGGUUUCUAUUUCCUUAUUUUCGGUUUUUUAUUUCUUAUUCCUUAUUAUUUCCAUUUCCUUAUUGGAUUUUCAUUUCCUUAUUGGAUUUUCAUUUCCUUAUUCGGUUUCUUUUUCCUUAUUCGGUUUCUAUUUCCUUAUUCAGUUUCCAUUUCCUUAUUGGAUUUUCAUUUCCUUAUUGGAUUUUUC